AUUGAACGCUGGCGGCAGGCCUAACACAUGCAAGUCGAGCGGAGCGGCGGACGGGUGCGUAAUGCCUAGGAAUCUGCCUGGUAGUUGGGGAUAACGUCCGGAAACGGGCGCUCUUACUGCAUACUCUCAGUUUAACCUAGGUGGGGUUAGCUAGUUGGUGGGGUACAGGCCUACCAGGGCGUCGAUCCGUAACGGGUCUGAGAGGCUGAUCAGUCACACUGGAACGGAGACACGGGCCAGACUCCUACGGGAGGCAGCAGUGGGGAAUAUUGGACAAUGGGCGAAAGCCUGAUGCAUCCAUGCAGCGUGUGUGAAGAAGGUCUUCGGAUUGUAGAGCACUUUCAGUUGGGAGGCGUUACCAACAGAAUAAGCACCGGCUAACUUCGUGCCAGCAGCCGCGGUAAUUC
rnacentral:rRNA from 1 species